rnacentral:rRNA from 1 species
UACGUAGGGCGCAAGCGUUGUCCGGAAUUAUUGGGCGUAAAGAGCUCGUAGGCGGUUUGUCGCGUCUGCUGUGAAAACGCGAGGCUUAACCUCGCGCCUGCAGUGGGUACGGGCAGACUAGAGUGCGGUAGGGGUGACUGGAAUUCCUGGUGUAGCGGUGGAAUGCGCAGAUAUCAGGAGGAACACCGAUGGCGAAGGCAGGUCACUGGGCCGCAACUGACGCUGAGGAGCGAAGCAUGGGGAGCAAACAGG